AGCAGUGGGGAAUAUUGCGCAAUGGGCGAAAGCCUGACGCAGCAACGCCGCGUGAGGGAAGAAGGCCUUCGGGUCGUAAACCUCUGUCAGGAGGGAAGAAUGUCAUGGAUUCGAACAGGGUCCGUGUUUGACGGUACCUCCAAAGGAAGCACCGGCUAACUCCGUGCCAGCAGCCGCGGUAAUACGGAGGGUGCGAGCGUUAUUCGGAAUUACUGGGCGUAAAGGGCGUGUAGGCGGCCUUGUAAGUCAGGUGUGAAAUCCCACGGCUUAACCGUGGAACUGCACUUGAAACUGCUUGGCUGGAGUACGGGAGAGGGCGGCGGAAUUCCCGGUGUAGGAGUGAAAUCCGUAGAUAUCGGGAGGAACACCAGUGGCGAAGGCGGCCGCCUGGACCGUAACUGACGCUGAGACGCGAAAGCGUGGGGAGCAAACAGGAUUAGAUACCCUGGUAGUCCACGCUGUAAACGAUGGAUGCUAGGUGUCGGCGAGCAAUCGUCGGUGCCGUAGUAACGCGUAAGCAUCCCGCCUG
rnacentral:rRNA from 1 species